rnacentral:rRNA from 1 species
GGUAACUCUGGGACAGCGUCGGGGGUAAUAGGGGGGGUGCAAUGGUUAUCCGGUUUCACGUGGUUUAAAGGGUGGGUAGGCGGGUAUUUAAGUCAGUGGUGAAAUCUCCAGGCUCAACCUGGAAACUGCCAUUGAUACUAUUUAUCUUGAAUAUUGUUGAGGUAGGCGGAAUAUGUCAUGUAGCGGUGAAAUGCUUAGAUAUGACAUAGAACACCGAUUGCGAAGGCAGCUUGCUAAACAAUUAUUGACGCUGAGGCACGAAAGCGUGGGGAUCAAACAGGAUUAGAUACCCUGGUAGUC